AGAGUUUGAUCUUGGCUCAGGAUGAACGCUGGCGGCGUGCUUAACACAUGCAAGUCGAACGAAACACCUUAUUUGAUUUUCUUCGGAACUGAAGAUUUGGUGAUUGAGUGGCGGACGGGUGAGUAACGCGUGGGUAACCUGCCCUGUACAGGGGGAUAACAGUCAGAAAUGACUGCUAAUACCGCAUAAGACCACAGCACCGCAUGGUGCAGGGGUAAAAACUCCGGUGGUACAGGAUGGACCCGCGUCUGAUUAGCUGGUUGGUGAGGUAACGGCUCACCAAGGCGACGAUCAGUAGCCGGCUUGAGAGAGUGAACGGCCACAUUGGGACUGAGACACGGCCCAAACUCCUACGGGAGGCAGCAGUGGGGAAUAUUGCACAAUGGGGGAAACCCUGAUGCAGCGACGCCGCGUGAGUGAAGAAGUAUCUCGGUAUGUAAAGCUCUAUCAGCAGGGAAGAAAAUGACGGUACCUGACUAAGAAGCCCCGGCUAACUACGUGCCAGCAGCCGCGGUAAUACGUAGGGGGCAAGCGUUAUCCGGAAUUACU
rnacentral:rRNA from 1 species